UCAUUCUAGAAACACUUUCCAGUACCUCUACUUUGUUACGACUUAUUCCAAUUUUUAAAUGAAAGCGACGGGCAAUAUGUACAUAUUUUAAUUUUUAAUCAUUUUAUUAUAUUAAAUAAAAUUACAUUUAAAUCCACUUUCAUAUUUAUAUUACAAAAAAAAAAAUCCAUUUAAAUAAAUUUAUUGUAAUCCAUCAUAUUCUUAANUAUAUUCUACAUCUUGAUCUGAAUUAAUUUAUAUUUUUAAUUUUUAAAUAUUAUUUUUAUUUUAAAAUAUUUUUUUAACAACGAUAUAUAAAAUUUUAAAUUAAGUAAAUUUAAUCGUGGAUUAUCAAUUAUUAGACAGAUUCCUCUAAAUGAACUAAAAUACCGCCAAAUUAUUUAAGUUUCAAUAAAUUAUUAUUUACUAUUUUAGUAUUAUAAAAUUAAAUUUUA
rnacentral:rRNA from 1 species